AGCUACUGUGCGGGCACGGACCUGGACCACAUAGCGGGCGUCAGGCCGAAGCCCGUCCAGCUGCACGGAGUUCAUCUGGCUGGUCACUGUGGAGGCGAUGCCCUCGCUCUGCAAUGCCAGGAGAGUCCAGGAUGACUCCGUUGGGCCGCUCUGGGGGUGCCCAGGAUAGGGUGAGGCUGCUGCCUGAGCUGCUGUGCAGGCGUAGUGUGGGCACUUCAGACGGGGCUGGGAAGAGCAGAG
rnacentral:lncRNA from 1 species